AUGUACCUUUGUUUGGCUCAAAUCCAUCUCCCUUGAAGCACCAUGCCAAUUAUUUUCCUUGCCAUUUUUUUCAACUGGCAUGGCACAGCACCACUUGUUCAGUUCUCCCUGAUGUUUGUGAAGCCAAACGAUGUAAAAACAGUGAAAGGAAGGCUUUAUUUAGACUUGCUUUGUUUAAAGGCCUUCAGGAUAUUGCUGAAGAGAUAGGCUCCAAUAUUACAUUUCAAAAUCUAUUUGAAAUGUGUGUUAGAUUUUCCUGACUCUGUAAAGAUUAUAAAAAAUGGUAAUGAACUCUCUUUCAGCUAUGCUAUCUGUGUUCCUCUUUCCAAUCAUCAACUUUCAUUAAAUCUGCAUGUCAUGUUGUGGCACUUGUGGGUUUUUUGUUUUUGUUUUUUCCAAUAUUAUCUGCCUUCCUCUUUCUCUGGUAAUAUCAGAACUUUUAAAUUUCUUCUGGAAUUUCUGGAUAGCAGCUGCUGGCUAUAAGAUAGUUAAAGUAGUCUAUAUCCUCUGGUCUCAUUUUGUACUAUGAAAAGUAAAGAGUUAAUUUAUUCAAAUGAUGCUUUAGUCAAAGAGAUUUGUUUAGAUAACAUCAUAUAAAAUAAAAUUUAAUUUUACUGAUUAUAUACAAAAAUAAAUAAGAGAUUCUUUUGAUGAAGUUAUCAAAAUUGAGUCAGGGAUUGUAAGCAGGCUCACAACUGCAAAGUCCAAACAUAUAUUAAGAUAAAUUUCAUUUUGUAUAUAGUUAUAGCAAUCACAUUAUUCCUAAUCUUUGCUGACAGUGAAAAUCUAAAAGGAAAUAUCUUAGAAUUCUAUAACAUAUAGUUUAAAAGCAGAAUCUUAGAUGUGUCCUUGGAGAACUUAAGGACUAAAUUUUCCCCUGGGGUUUGAAGCUUAAUGGGUUAGCAAAAAAUCAUUGCUCUGAGAAAUGAAAAUAAAGGACAGGCCACAAAUCACUAAGCAUGAGUUACUAGAACCAGAGACAAUGCUGUUCAGAAAGGUGCCAGUUUGCUCUGCUCUAUCUCUCCCUUAGUCCUUGACUGAAUGCAACAAGUAUUUGGAGGUGAAGGCAGAGAUGCAUUGUGGUGGUGCUGGGAUAGAACCCCUGUGGUCUUUUCACAGUGGUCUUGCCCCACAGGGAUGGAGACAGGCAGUCUCUCCUGGCAGGAGUGAUCAGCUCAGGACAGGAGUGGUUCUGGGUCAAAGGGAGUUUCCCCUCAAACCAACACCGUAAUGUGACAGCUCUGACCUGGGCUCAAGCCAUUUGGAGAUCACAAUCAAGAGUCAGGUAGCAAGUUUUAUUUACACCCUCAGAGAGAGUGUGCAGCCCUGGGGUGGGGACUGGCUCUGGCUGCAACUGGGUCUCUCCUUAUAUUACUAUACCAUGGACCUGUUUGGGGACCUCUAUUCUCUUGCCCCAGGUCCACUAAUUUCCUAUCCCAACCCCCCUGCACCUUGUGUUGUUUUGAUCUUCUGAUUGGUUCUGGGCGAGGACACCUUACUUGCAUGGGGAACAGGGUAUGUAGAGGUGGGGUGAGGAAUGGGAGACAUUCCUUCUCUAGCAGGGUGUGAGAAGGCCCAGCUGGUCAAGGUCCAAGAAGCAGCAUUACAAUGAGACAUGGCCAGAGGCUUUUGGGUUUAAUCUCCUUGCAGGGAGACUUGAAGCCUAUAUAACAAGGGCAUCUGAAGAAAAGACAUCUUGUAGAGGAGAGGAUGUCAAGUUUUAAGAAUAGGUUUGUUUGGAGAGAAACUCUAAAAUGACGAGAACUCUACCAUUAAAUGAUUCUUAUUUGUUCAUUCUCACUUUCUGCCUCCUUUCUCUCUGUUUCUGAUGUCCUCACCUGUCUUGCUUUCCCUCUCUCUCUCUUUCUCUCACACACUCACACACACAAUUCCUCACUCCUUUUUCUGCUGCCUUACACAUUCGUAAUUACCAAGAAAGUUCAUUAAUUUUGUAGUUCAUUAAUAAAGAGACUAAGUCCAAAUUUUUGGCAUAACAAAAUCUUUUCACUUACGACAUGAUUUAUUCUCUUAAUACUGACCUUCUUCCUGUGAAAAAAAUUAUGUAUGUUCACUAAAAUGAGGUCAAGCAAUGCAGAACUAAUAUACUCUCAUAUCAAAAUAAGCAUGGUUUGCAUCAGAUAAUUUCCAGUCUCAAUGUAUCUAUAGGCAUAUACACAGAUAAAAAAAGACUUAGCUACAAAAUUACCUAGUUAACUGGAGUGACAAAUGCAUUUAUGAAAAUUGAUUAUAAUAUUCAUACUACAUUUAGUUAAAAUAUUAAAUUAAAUUAAAUUUUUAUUUAUGAAGAGGAAAUAAAUGAAAACCGAAGCAAUGAUGAACUUGAGAUAAUAGUUAUUUAAAGAUUCAUGUAAAAUUAAUAAGAUUGCAAAAAUAUUACUAAAAUCAUUGUGCUUUAAACUAACUGCAUUUUAAUAUUACAUAGUAUAGAUUGACUUCCUGAUAUGUAAAUUCAACAAGAUAGUCAGUUAUCAGUUUUCCCAAUUUUGUGAAUCACAUUUUUUAAAUUCUUAUAACAGUUUGCAAUAAUUACACUCAGUUUUUCAAUCAUAUCUGCAUAGUUUUCAUUCAUAUUUAAUUGCAUCCCAUUCUUGCUUUACAUUCUUUAAAUAUAGUUCUUCCAAUACUGCCUGAGUUCUUUAUUUUUUUAAUCAAUCUUUAAUUGAUUAAAUGUAUGCAUGCAUGUGUGAAAGACUCAUGGUAGUUAUAUUAGCUAUUUUUUUCACCUUUAAGAAUGUUUUGUUUAUGUAUAAGCAAUAUCUCAGCUAGGUGUCUCUUUAGGGCAUAUUUUCCUUUGUAAAUUUAUAGACAUUUUCUAUUAACUUCCAGUUUUGAUCAUUACUUUGGAAAACUCCAAGAUGUUACAUUUCCUUUUUUUAAGGAAUUUGAUUUUUCAGUCUGGAUAACUGAAGAAAAAAAUUUUUUUUAUCCUUGAUGUUCCAUAACUUAAUGUAGAUAUAUUGUUAUACUAUAUCUCAUUUAUAAGACAUGUACCAUAUGUCAUUUAAUGACAUAUACUAUGUAGAGUUUCCGUCAUGGCUCAGUGGUUAACAAAUCCGACUAGGAACCAUGAGGUUGCAGGUUCGAUCCCUGGCAUCGCUCAGUGAGUUAAGGAUCCGGCGUUGCCAUAAGCUGUGGUGUAGGUUGCAGAAGCAGCUCAGACCUGGUGUUGCUGUGGCUCUGGUGUAGGCCAGCAGCUGGAGCUCCGAUUAGACCCCUAGCAGCCUGGGAACCUCCACAUGCCGCAGGAGCAGCCCAAAAA
rnacentral:lncRNA from 1 species